rnacentral:lncRNA from 1 species
GAAUUACGUUAUGGUCUUGAACUCUCGAUAUAUCAUAUGUAAUGAAUGAUCGAGGUUGUCUUUUCGGAAGAGGUGGGUGGGAGUGGGGCAAGGCAAGAAAGUAACAAUCAUACCCGAUAUUCAGAGCGCCGGAGAUAGAAGCGGCGGCAGCCAUAAAGUGGAGAAUUUCCAUCCAUUUGCUGUCUCCUUCGCUACCGCUCCGUGGGGUCAACAUUACGAAAUUAGCCAGGUUCAGUUCUGACUAUAGCUGCAACCUAUCUCAUAUUUGGCCGCCCUCGAUCACAAACUAGAAAUUUGAAGGUGGGAGUGGGGAAAGGCAUUAAAGUAACAAUCAUACCCAAUAUUCAGAGCACCAGAGAUGGAAGCGGCGACAGCCAUAAAGUGGAGAAUUUCCAUCCAUUUGCUGUCUCCUUCGCUACCACUCUGUAGGGUAAACAUUCCGAAAUUAGCCAGGUUCAGUUCUGACUAUAGCUACAACCUAUCUCAUAUUUGGCCGCCCUCGAUCACAAACUAGAAAUUUGAUAAGAUAAAGUAAAGAAAGAAUUUCGGGCUAGGUUCAAGGUAUGCCAGUUGAUUGAAAAAGAGACUCUACUUUCAAGAUUCAAGAUUAGGUAAGUG